rnacentral:rRNA from 1 species
GACGAACGCUGGCGGCGUGCUUAACACAUGCAAGUCGAACGGAAAGGCCCUGCUUUUGUGGGGUGCUCGAGUGGCGAACGGGUGAGUAACGCGUGAGAAACCUGCCCGUGACGUUGGAAUAACUUCCGGAAACUGGGGUUAAUACCCAAUAUGAGCCCCUGCUGCAUGGUGGGAGUUGGAAAGUUUCGGCGGUUGGAGAUGGACACGCGGAUUAUCAACUUGUUGGUGGGGUAGGUGGCUUACCGAUGCUAUGAUGGGUAGCCCGCCUGAGAUGAUGACCCGCCACGUUGGUAAUGAAAUACCGCCCAUACUCCUACAGGAGGCAGCGGUGGGGAAUAUUGCACGAUGGGCGGAAUCAUGAUGCCAUGACGCCUCGUGCGAGAUGACGACUCUUCGGGUUGUAAACCGUUUUCCCCUGUGACAUAGCGUGAUCUACUGUAAUGGGUAAAGAACCACCCGCUAACUACAUGCCACCAGGCCGCUAUGAUACAUAAGGCGCGAGCGUUCUCCGGAUUUAUUGGGCGUACAGGGUUCGUAGGUGGUUGUUUGAGUAGGAAGGGUAAUUUUGGGGGUUUAACUUGAGAAGUCUUUCUAUUACGGGUAACUUUAAGGAAGGUAGGGGGGGGUGGAAUUCCACGUGUAACAGUGAAAUGCCUAAAAAUGUGGAGGAACACCGAUGGCGAAAGCAGCCCCCUGGGCCGAUACUGACGCUCAUGCACGAAAGCGUGGGGAGCAAACAGGAUUAGAUACCCUGGUAGUCCACGCCCUAAACGGUGGGUCAUAGGUGUGGGGUGGGUAAAACCAUUUAGUAACGUAGCUAACGCGUGAAGUUGACCCCCUGGGGAGUACGGCCGCAAGGUUAAAACUCAAAGGAAUUGACGGGGACCCGCACAAGCGGUGGAUGAUGUGGAUUAAUUCUAUGCACCGCGAAAAACCUUACCUACCCUUGACAUGUUCAUAAUCCCGGAGAGAUUUGGGAGUGCCCUAAAGGGAGCUGGAACACAGGUGCUGCAUGGCUGUCGUCAGCUCGUGUCGUGAGAUGUUGGGUUAAGUCCCGCAACGAGCGCAGCCCUCGUUCACUGUAGCCAGCAUCUUAUGGUGGGCACUAUAACGAGACCGCCGGGGUCAACUCGGAGGAAGGGGGGGAUGACGUCAAGUCAUCAUGCCCCUUAUGUCCAGGGCUUCACGCAGGCUACAAUGGGUGGUACAGAGAGUGGCGCGCCUGUGAGGGUGAGCGAAUUUCGGAAAGCCGGUUUCAGUUCGGAAUGGGGUGUGCAACUUGACCUCAAGAAGUUGGAGUCGGUAGUAAUUGCAGAUCAGCCACGUUGCGGAAAAGGCGUUCCCGGGGCU